UGGACUUCUCUGCCUUUUGGCUAAAAUCAAGUGUAGUAUCUGUUCUUAUCAGUUUAAUAUCUGAUACGUCUCCUACCCGGGACCGUGCAGUAAAUUGAUUUUUGUAGCCGGGAGACGGAACGGGAGCUCGCUCCGUCCACUCCACGCAUCAGCCUGGUAUUGCACUAUUUCUGGGAUUGGUGCGCCCUCU
rnacentral:snRNA from 1 species